CCUACGGGUGGCAGCAGUGAGGAAUAUUGGUCAAUGGGCGCGAGCCUGAACCAGCCAAGUAGCGUGAAGGAUGACUGCCCUACGGGUUGUAAACUUCUUUUAUAAAGGAAUAAAGUGAGGCACGUGUGCCUUUUUGUAUGUACUUUAUGAAUAAGGAUCGGCUAACUCCGUGCCAGCAGCCGCGGUAAUACGGAGGAUCCGAGCGUUAUCCGGAUGUAUUGGGUUUAAAGGGCGCGUAGAUGGGUUGUUAAGUCAGAUGUGAAAGUUUGCGGCUCAACCGUAAAAUUGCAAUUGAGACUGGCAGUCUAGAGUACAGUUGAGGUAGGCGGAAUUCGUGGUGUAGCGGUGAAAUGCUUAGAUAUCAAGAAGAACUCUGAUUGCGAAGGCAGCUUACUAAACUGCCACUGACACUGAUGCGCGAAAGUGUGGGUAUCAAACAGGAUUAGAUACCCCUGUAGUC
rnacentral:rRNA from 1 species